GUUUCUAUUCUUGAGCUCUGUGUUAUGGCAUGUCUGCAGCUGUAGUCCUAGUAAUAGCAGUUAGUUGUUGUAAAAUGUUGCUGUAGUUGUUACCUAGAGGCUGUGAGGGAGAUAACUUUUUUAACUAAAUAUAUUUUAUCUCCCCUUUUUUUGAACUGAUAAAUGUUUUUGUUUUGCAAAUUACUCGAAUAAAUAUAUUUUUAAAAAAAGAGAAAAAGUUUUAUUAGGAUGGUAGAUUUUAUGACAAUGUCUGGUCGCCUGCUUGCAAAGAAACAUUAGCUUGCUCACCUGCACAUUUUUUUAUUUGCUUUUCAUGUUAAAACGUUGGCUUUUUGGUUCAGUUAUGUUGUUGAAGUGUUGGUAUCCUGAACUGAAACAUUGGUGAAUAAUAAACUCAUGUAACUGUUUGUUUUUAUUAUACAAAAUUGCUCACUUACCUUUAUUUCCUGUUUAUACUUCAAAAUGUAUUUACAUUAUUUACUACAAUCUAUAAUAAUUGGCAGAUUCGGCAUCAGUUUUGGUUUAUCUUUCAGUGUGUUUGUUUUCUUGUUGUACUUCUUGUUGUUUUGUUGCUUGCAAUCAUCUUGACCUGAAGCUCAACGCGCGCCUCAUUAUUUCAAUAUUUCAUAGUUUGUUAAUUAGCACAGAUAAGAUAUAUAUAUCCUUUUAGUUAUAUUAGUAUAAAUUACCUCAUGGAUAUUCUCUUCAAAGUCACUAAAAUAAUCAGUGUAGGCCCAAAAUGAGAAAAGAAAGGGUGGGCAGUAGAAAAGUUCCUCACUCACACACAAACACAUACACACUGACAUUAAAAAAGAAAUAUGUUUUUAGUAACUUAUUUCAACUCCCCUUGCCUAUUAAAAGCCCAUGAAUUGGUUUAGUUAAGUAGUCCUCUAUUUUAUUGAAUGAAAGGAAUAGAUCUUGUUCAUUAGUACUGUUGUAGGGUUCUGUCCUGUUCACCAUUAGUUUACAAACUUCAUUGAAGUAUAGUUUGUACAUGGUGAUCAGAGUCAUGAUAUAGUUGAUAGGAUCUAAUCAAACUGCUGGUUUCAGUUGUUAAGGGGGAAAAGUUCCUAAGAAAUUUAUAUGUGCACAUUCUGAGAGGAUUUAUCAGUCUAUACAGACUAAAGUUUCUGAAUUUGAAUUAUGGCAUUCUAGAUGUUUUAACUUACUAAGAAGAAUUUUUUUUUCAAUAAAAAAUCCUUGUUUUUUAGUUUGGUUUUAGUUCUAUUAUGAAUAUGCAGCAUUAGAUGCUAUUAGUCUAUCCCAAUGUUCAUGGUUAUAUGGCUUUUACUUGCAUUGUAUAGAAUGAAUGAACUGUAUGGUUUUAUUCAAAUUUGGCUUUCAUUUUGUAUUAAAAAUAUUUUGAUCUACUACAGUAAGUCAGUUAGUUUAAGGCUUCAUUCUGCUGUUAACAUUCAGUAAUCUGAUCUGUUUCAUUUUGGCAGUGCAUAGCUGAAUUAAUAGCAUCAUCUUGGUAAACCUUAUGGUGUCAGUGUUUGGGUUGAAAAGUUUGAAUGUUGCAGCUUUGGAUGCAGCACCAAUGUUGUUGAUCUUCAAGCUUCAGUUGACUAAUGUUUGCUGACUUUAUCCUUCUAUCAACAGUAUGUGCAUCUGUUGGUCUUAGGCAUGAGGCUAGAUGAAGUUUGAGGUCUUCUAUCAACAGUAUGUGCAUCUGUUGGUCUUAGGCAUGAGGCUAGAUAAAGUUUGAGGUCUUCUAUCAAAAGUAUGUGCAUCUGUUGGUCUUAGGCAUGAGGCUAGAUAAAGUUUGAGGUCUUCUAUCAACAGUAUGUGUAUCUGUUGGUCUUAGGCAUGAGGCUAGAUAAAGUUUGAGGUCUUCUAUCAAAAAUAUGUGUAUCUGUUAGUCUUAGGCAUGAGGGUAGAUGAAGUUUGAAGUCUUUUGAAAUUGUGCUAUCACUUCUUCAGUCCUUUUUUUUUUCUCGGCCUUCCUCUGCCUUGCCUCCUGCAUUUUUUGGUUGGUGUCUGCUCAAAGGGCUAGUCCAUUGGUUGGCUUUCUUACUAAGUAGCCACAUCAGUUUUUACUUGGACAGUGUUAAGGCUACACCUGUCUAAUAUCAGCUGGUAAUCCUGAGUUGAUGAAAAUCUCAGGAAACUGGUUGGUAUUGAACAGAGGUCAUGUCACACCAGCACUUACAAAAUUCAAAUUCUAGUUGUUUUUAUUUGGUUCAGCUGGGUAUUUUCUGUAUAAAUGUUUAUUUACAGUAAUACACAUAUUUUUCCAGGGUAUUAUAAUUGGGCAGUAUGAAUUUCUAGACUAGCCUCUCUCAAUAUGACUGAGAGAUGCAAAAGAAGAUUUAUUGUUCAGAUGAUGAUAGCACCUCCAUGACUCAAGGGAACUUGAAGUUAGAACUUUUUUUUAUGUCUUGAGUUCACUUUAGUCUCCUGUCAAAACAUUGAUCAUUAUUCUUUGUUUCAUUCUGUGUCGAAAAUCGUUAAUUGAUCUUUCCAAAUGUCUUGUUCUGUAUCAAUAUCAGGGCUUGGGUUGGAAAACAAAUUUUUUUGACAUCUCCUGACACUGUCCUCUCUUUUUAGCUUCUUCCAGUAGCAGAUCAUCUUCCUGAUAUGUUUCUGUCCAAUCACCAGAUAUUUCUUGUCUGCUGUUUCUUCUUUUAUCCUUGUGUGAACUUCUAAGAUGAUCAAGAUGCUAGUUCUUGAGAGUGUAACCAGUUCUUUCAUUGAGAUUUUUUUGUUUUCGAUUCCUUUCAAUCAUUCACAGAUUGCUCCACUAACAGAGAUGCUUACUAUUUAGGUUUAGGGCACUUCUCUUUUCUGUAGUUCAGCAAUGUUCCCUUAUUUAAGUUUUCUAAUUUUUUUUAAAGAUUUAAUUUAAAGAAAUACCAGUUUAAGAUAAUAAUAAUGAUAAAAGGGAAAUAACCUCUGUUCAACACAUGUUCACUAUAUUAAAUACUAUUUCUACGGCUCCAGUACAAAAGAACUUGAAUCUUGUUAUAUAAAAAAACAGCCAUCUUUACUCUCUGUUUACGGUGACCCAAACUUUUAUUGUGCACUAUUUGUACAGAUAAUGUCAGUGUUAUUCUUGGUUUCUGCUUUAUUUGAAUGGUAGGUUAGCUCCCAUGCUUCUUUUUUUCCCCUUUCACCAUCAUCAAGCCCCACCCCAUUUUCCAUUCAGUAUGAGAGUAAAGGGGAGAGAAUCAAUACAUUUAUUUGACACUUGAACUUCGAUCAAUAACAUGACAGUAGCCUUUUAGCCUCCUGAGGGAAUACACUUUUUACCCCAGUAACUAGGUGUGGUUAGUUUUAUUAAGUCUUUCUCUCCUAACAGACAAUACCAAUGUUGGUUCCACCAGAAUGUGGUAAAUAAUUAGGGAGAGAAAGAGUUAAGUUGCAACUAUUUUGAAGUGAUGCUUUUAAAAGAUGUACAUUUAGAAGACAAUUAAACAUGUAAUACUUUACAGUUCAUUGUAAUACAGUAAUAAAACUCAACUUUUUUAUAAUACAGUUUAACUUAUUCUGCUCCAGUUCAUUAUCAUUACAUGACAGUUCAAUCAUUUAUUUUAUAACAGUUAAAACUUUGCUACAGUACAUAUAAAUCUCGUUACAUUAAAUGCCAUCCAGCAGUUCCAGGUUGAGCAGCAUAGUAUUAGACUUCUCACCAAUGUUUAGAUUUAGUUUGCUUAUAUCUAUCAUGAGUUUGAUUUACCCAUCUGUGUAGCCAACACUGAAUAUACAAAACUGCCAGUGUUAAUAGGGCUAGUGAAGUUUGAAUGUCAUUUGUGUGUAUCUGUCAAGAUGACAUAGAAUACUAGAUAUCAUAUUACAAGCUAGAUAUGUUCUAAAAAUAAUUUCUAAUUAAAUAUAUAUAUGGUAAAGGCAGAUGCCUAUAGAGAAGAGAUGAUACAACUAAAGGUUGAUUAUAUCCAAUAUUAUCAUUCAUGGUUUGUGUAAUCCUUUAAUGUAAGCCUUGCUUUAUAAGAUAGUUAUCAUAUUAUAAUGUAGAGUUUGUCCUAUUAGUAUAAUCUUAGUGUGUAGAUUUGAUUUCCUUGCAAUGUACACAUUUACAUGUUCAAUGUGGUAUUAAAAGUAGAUCACAUCCUGUAUUAAAGUAGGUCACAGCCAAUUAUACAACAUCUAAUUAUUAGUUACACCAUCAAUUUACCCCAUGCUUCUCCUCACCACCUGGCUGUGGCUCGCCUUGUUUUGCACCGUUUUUUUUUUCUUUGUAUUUGUUUGGUGUUGGCGUUUGCCUAAUCUCAGCUGGUAAUUCAGAGUGAUUUUAUAGAGUCUCAAGUUACCAGCCGAGGUUACACAAAUACCCCUCACAUACUGCAUGCAAUCUUUUAUUUUGUCUUCUGGCAUAUCAAGAGCAGAUGGAUAAAAAUAUAUUUUUAAAAUUCACAUUUAAUUUACCUUUUUUUUUAUCAUAUUUGUUGUAACUAUAUUUAUGAGAGUUUGUUUGUUGUUUUAUUUACAUAAAUUUAAAGUUAUUUUUAUUUUAUACUUUAAAAAGAAAAAAAUAGAUAUAAUAUUUUCUAGAUGAUUACUUAGUCAUUAUUAUUUAAAGGAAGUAUUUAUUAACAAAAGCUUUUGUGAUUUGUUUAAAUUUUAUUUGUUAACGUUUCCAUUAAUUUGUAUAACAAUAAGUGUCUUGUUUUGUUGAUGUAAUGUAGUGAUGGAAACAACAGCUUUAGACUUUAUAGUGAUCAUCUUUUGAAUUCUAAAGUAGUUGUAGGGUUGGUACAUUGAAUCGCUUAUUUUUGUCUAGUUUUUAAUCUCCUAACUCCCAGGUUUUUUUUUUAUUCAAGCUUAAAUUUUAAAAAAAAAAUAGAAUGGAAGCAAGUCAUAAAGACAAUGCAAAAAAAUAUGAAGAAUAGUGAGAACAAAAAAUUAAAAGAACAAUUUAAAAAAAAAAACAUUUUAAAGAGAAAAAAAAUCUUUUAAAAGAAAGCAGUAUUGAAGAGUCAAAGAACUUUUAACAAUUUUUAUUAUAGGUCAUUAUGAAGUUAUGAGCUAAUUUGAAGUGACAGUGCAAGUCAAGAAGAUUUAUAUUUCAAUGUUUUUCUGCCUUUAUUACCCUCCCAGCCCACCCAAUGCCGUUACUUCACACUCCUGACUUGCUUAGCUUCUACAGUUUUGUAGGGUUAUUUUUAAAUAGAAAUAAUAGCAUGAAAUUAUUAAUCUGCUGUUUAUGUUCAUUUAGAAUAACUUUAUGUAUGAAGUAGAUUUUUUUUCAAACUAAACUUAUUUUAUAAUGAUUUUUACUUAUUUCAUUGUUGGUAUCUAAAGCUAUGAUACAAUUGUGAUAACCAUUCUUUUCUACAACUAUUUGUCUAUAUCAUAAGUGACAAGUGAGUUAAUGGAACUGGCAUAUAUAUUUUUUACAUUCUAUAGAACUGCAAGAGUUUUAAGCAAAAAAAUGUUUAAAUAAUAAUUUUCAAUGUUAAUCUUUUGUAUGCUGCUAAUUUUGAUUAGCUGGUAGUAAAAGAAUACAGACAUUGUAAUCUGUGAACUUUCUUCUGAACUUUGUCUUUAAACAAUUGGUGAUAGUUUAAUAUUGUGAUUAUGAAGAAUAGACAGAACUUUUGUCUAACUUUGUAUAGUUCUAUUUGGUAUGGAGACAAUUCUUAGUUGAAUUUGGUCCUUGCCACAUUUUUAGAACACUAGGAACUAAAUGUGUGAUGUUGUUGUUAUGAGCCUAAUUAGUGAUGUUGAUGUUGUUGUUGAUGUUUGUGUCUAGACAAAUACAAAGCAGGUCUUCCAUAUUUAAUGACUGCCCAGAAUAGAUUUCUGAUAGUUUCCUAGAGCUUGAUUUGUGCAGAGCUCUGUGACCAAUGCACAAUUGAUUGAUCAGUCAAAUACUACAGAAUGUUACUUCUGAAUGUACAGUAGUGGGUGAUUACUUUUGAAGAUAAGUCUCUUAGAGGAAGAAAGAUUAUGUCCAAGUUUAUGAAAAGGGGGAUGUUUAAAGGAAUUGGGUCAACACCAAGAGGAUUCCCCUGUUUUUUCUUUCCCCCUCUGUAAGUUAACCGUGUCAUUGACUCAUUGUGUCAUUUCUUAGAAAAAUAAGUUAACAAACCCUAGUCCUUCAGCUUCAGCAGCAGGGUUUUGUUCUAAAGAGCCACACUUCCUCCUAGAUUUAGUGUUAGUGUGAUUCAGUAAAAAAGUUGUAUUUUUCUUAAAUAAAAUAUGUUAUACAUUUUAAAUAAUACUGUAUACAUAUAGAUAGAGUUAGCUUUUUUUUUUAUCAUAAUAAUAUAUGUUUAAAAGAUUUGCUUAACAUUAUGGUUGAUCUAUUACAUGGUUUGUUAUAAAAUCAUUUUUUUUAUUAACAAAUAAAACAAUAUUUGAAUUAGAAAAUGAUUACUUGGGUCGAUAUAGAAGUUAUCAAUACUUUUAUCUCAUUGUUUGCAUGCUGUUCUAACUAAUGCAUUACUUUGUUCUGUUGUGCUAGACUCUGGGCUUUGAGUCUAUUGGUUUGAGCCUUCAUUACUUUUUGUUUGUCCUUUUGAUUUAGUUUUUUUUUUCCUUCAUACUUCUGUCCAUGUGCUAUUGAUCUUUAGUUCAGUAUUGAUUUUGAACAUAGAUCAAUAAGUAUCCGUGCCUGGCCUGACACUCUGGGGGUGGGUGAGGGUAAAACUUAAAUAAAUUGUCCAGAGAGAAGUUGGAUAAAAAAAACACAACGUUGAUGCUAUAUAAACUACACAUGAUCAGGCUGCCCCAGCUAUUGUGGUGGAAAAUCAGGGGAGGAUAAUCAAUAAGUAGAAAAUGGAAGGGGCCGGCAGGGGGAUGAGACAGAAAAAGUUCUUUUUAUUAUUUUAUGCAUUAUGGAUAGAAACUGGCCAAGGGCAAUUCUUAGAACAAUAGCUUCUGCUACUAAUUCUGUGUGUGCGUCUGCCUGCCUGUGUGUCAAUCUUUUGUUUGUGAGUCAUAAAAAUAAAAGUGCUCUUUCUGGUCCAUUUAGUUUUCUAUUGGACUGCCUAAGGAUGUGAACUCUUCAUUCUGGAUGUUUAAGAUAUGUUGGCUGUGUUCAGAGGCUACAAUUUAAUUUUAAAUUCAGCAUGUAUGUUUUUUAAUGUUUUUUUUUUAAGCACCAUAUGGGUUUAACGUUUUUUCUCUUUCUACACUAUGAAUUUUGUUCACCUCAACUCUGGUGAGAGUCAUGGAUGUGGUUAAGGUCCAGCACUGGCAUGUUUUAGGCUACGUCUGACUGUACCCCCUUCAGUUGUGUGUCCACCAGCAUGUCACGCAUGAGCACACAAUGAAGCCUAAGGUCUGAGUAUUACUUCAGGUACUGAGUGGACGGGCUGCGUUCAGUACCUAAUGUGAUAUUCUUACUUUGCGCUCUCACAUCUGCAUGCUUUUUUUUUUGUUUUGGUUUCAUUAGUUGUACUGUAGCGGCCAUGACUUUCAAAGCAGCAGAAACCAUUUUUAUCCUAGAAAGCGGACCAGUGUAAUGCAAAUUUUAGCUAUUAAGACUACAAGAAGAGAAUAAUCUUAACUGUUGACAAGAGUCACAAUGUCAGUCUAUAAUUUAGAAUCAGUCAUGUACAAAAUGUAUACACAUAUUUCUAGCCUAGUCUAUAUUUUAAGUAGGAACUAUGUUUUAUUAGUUUUGUUAUAAUAAUUUUAGCAAGGUUAUAAAUAGAUUCAUUUCCAUUUAGUCAAGCUAGUCUCUUCACUGAAGUAGCUUAGACAUGCUUGUAUUUAAUGUUAUUGUCACCCUUGACUAGUAUUAUUUUAUUUAGAGUUAAAUGUUUGUACUAAGCAAAUGUAUUUUAUCAGCAAGAUCAGUUAGCAGAACUAUUGUUUCAGAAGUGUGUAAAAUACUUUGAGUCUGAAACCAUUUUUUGUAAUGAUUCUGUUGCAACUGAUGCUCAUGGAAGUGGUACAUGAUAAAGUGCACUGGUGAAUGUGUUUUAUACUUAUAGACAUGUUUGAUGUGAUUGUGUGUUCAGGGGAAAAAAAAUAUAGAUGUAUUAAAAAAUAGGUGUGUCUGCUCAUAUCAACAG
rnacentral:sRNA from 1 species